CUUUGUUCUGCAUAGCUACAAGGAGGAUUUACGGGGCCAAAGUCCGGUGCUAAAAGAGGGAACGCCUCAGAAAAUAAGCGCAGAGCCGCGAUGUAACCUCCAAACCCGUCCCCUAGUCAGCAGCUGCUACUGGCAACAAAACAUCACCAUUCUGUCAGCCUCUCCCUCCAAAAUAAAGGCAGCCAGGAAAUUUUGGAGGGCGUAGGGGAGGGGGGCAGACACUUUUCCUACCAGAAUCUGUGCAGUUCGUAUCCCUGAUAAAGGAAGCGACAGAUCAUGGGAGGUGCCUUGCUCCGAGGAGACUUUUCUAUCUGCUCUACUUCCCACCCUAUGGCGAGCAGCAUGACUUGACAGGUGUCACUCAUCCCUCUGAGCCUGCAGUACUUUGGAAGGGAUCCUGGAAAUGCCAAAAGCACUAAGUUUUGACAGCCAGGAGACAGGAAAAUCUCCAAGGAGCUCCUGUGUAAAACGGCAAAUAUCAGCUCAAGGAACUGGAUAUGGAUUUGAGAGACCUUGUGGAGAACUUCCGAACUAGAAGCCAGUGAAUGAAUUACAUUAAUUCACAUACGUUGUACUGUUGUUUUUUGUUUGUUUGUUUGUUUUUGGGGGGGGGUUGAUUGGUUUUGACUGUGACAAUUAUAAUAAUAUUCUGUAGUUCAAUAUGUUGUAACAUUCAUAAUUCAAGAAACAGGCCUGGCAUAAUUCAGAAAAAAAAUACUCAACGGUAUCAGUAAUCCCCUUUUGUUUAACAAUCUCCAAAGCAUGCCACAGCAUAUGUAUUACCAAGUGAAUAUAUGCUGAGAAAUCCUUUCACUCGCUGCUGAAACGUGUCCAUCAAGGAUAGAAAGAAGUAUCUGUGCAGUAAGUCACAAGAAACCCAAUUCAGCUCGCACCACACUUCUUACUGAAUUCAAUAUGAUUCAGUUUAUCCUAAGAAUCUCUCCCUCUAACUAAUCUGCUGAGACUCACCUCUUUAUCCUUUUUAUUUUUAUUUUACUUUACUUUCACCAUCUCUCUAUUGAUCUCCUCCAUUUAUUUUUUUCCUCCAGCUAGCCUUCCAUGUUUCCCCGUUCCUUAGAUGCCCUCCACCCAUUCAUGAAGCAGAAGGCAAGAUGGGAGUGUCCUGUUUACCUUUUCAAGGCCAUUACCACAUAAUGCACGUUACAGUGGUGAAACCCACAUGAUCCGCUACAUUACAAAUGCAUUCAUUCUUCAGCUGUAGGGGUGGUGAGACUAGAAUAAUGGAAACUGGGACAUUCCUGUAGCCUUGUUGCUCAGCACAUCCUUCACCACAUGCAAAGAUCUUCACAGUGGCCUCCCUGUCUUGGGGCAAAAGCCACAUGGAGAGCUGCUGCCACCAUUGCCAAGGAAAGGCAACAGCUUCUUGGAGCCCUGUGAGCUCUUGGCCUGUAUCCUUCAGCCCUCAAAAGUGGCAGAAAGAGGACUGUGAUCUGAAAAGCUGCAACAGAAAUUUAUUAAACCCUGCAGUAGAUAGAAGAUUUGUGCUUUGCUUCGCCAGCACUGGGAAGCACAUCAUUUCACACUGCUGUUCCUGCAGGGCAUCGCAGGAAGCCUCAGCCUGGUGAGGAUUGCCCCCUCACAUGCCUGCACAGCAUCUCUGUCCAGCCCUGAAUGAGCUCACGUGGCUGAGAGAUGCCAACACCUUUCCUCCCCUCCUCUUCCAAAUCACCAAUACUACCGCUGUCUGCUGUAGGAUACUGUAGGGAAAAACCUUUUGGUGUUUACUAAGUCAAAUACGUGGCUCUCUCUGGCUUGCCUUCUUAACAUUUGAGCUGUCAGGGAAACUGCAGCAUAUGUAAGCUCCUAAAAUUAUUUUCCCAUUCAAUCUCUCCCCUCAAAAAUGAAAUUGUUUAAAGCUUAUAGCUUGAGAACUGUGCUAGAUCCCCUGGCACACCUCUCAAACUGCACUUUGAGGAGCAUUGAGGAUGCUGGCACAGUUUAACUGCAAGCAUUGCUGCUUCAUCCCCUCCUUCAACUUGCAAACUGAGGGAAAGAGACAUUCCAGAUACAAGGUGACAUCCAGAGGUUGAUGUGCUGUUCACCGUGUUAAACCAUAUAGCAGGGUCCUUCAAGCAAACCGUCCAGCAUGCACACAGGUGGAGCAGCUCUACACAGAAAGCACACGGAGCCAGCCACCAACACCUGAUGAGUCCUGAGACCAAUCCAUGACCGACUGCUACGGAAAACACUCCUCAGCUUCACCCUGCAAUAAUCUAGCACAACAGUGCAAGGAAUAAUACUCUAUAGAUAGCACCGGAAAACUCAACAAAGACAAAAAUAUACCCCUCCAUAAAUCAAAACCCAAAUGCAGUAAGACCACAGCAUGGGUGUGCUUCCUCAGAGACACCACCUAAAGCCCCCAAAAUUCUAGCACGCAAAUUACACAGCCUGCGCAAUAUUAAAGCCAACAGGACAUUAAUCCCAGAAGGCAAUAUCCAAGGAGAUCUGAAGCAGCCUUUCAGUGUCUCAUAUGCUCCUGAAAUGAGAGCUGGCUAACGAGCACCACAUUUUAAUUUUUACCAAUUAAUAUUUUUAAAAAAUUUAACCAGUUAAAAGCUCACUUUGUUAAAAAAAAUAUGUAAUACUUCAAAGAUACUGAAGAAGCAAAAGGCUUUUAACCAAAAGAAAUGAGACACCAAGAGAAAACCCAGCAAACAAAAGCAAAUUAAUGAAUAAAUAGGAAAAUCAUACAUUUAGAGAACUAGGAUAGCAGGCAGGUUGUGGCCAUUUAUCAGAAGCAGAUUAUUUCCCAUGCUCACAUCCACACAACUUUUUCCAGAAUUAAAAGAGAGUUUAAAGAAUCGAUCAAAAGUCUUACGCAGUCAAUAGGAAACCACCUUUGCUGAGCUUUGCUUGAUUUACAUCAGCGGCAGGAAUUGCCACAAGAAGUCCUGAAAUGUGGUGCCAGGACUUGGCACUGCAACCCAUCUUUUCCACUGGGUGGUGGUAAUGAGAUCAAAAAGUUCAGGAGAACAAACUACAAAAGCACUCGGAACAGAGCCGGUAUUUCCUGAUUCAUUCUGUCCGUCUCUACGCAGAUACUUAUUUGUGCGUGCGUGUGAACAAGUAGACAUGGCUACAUAGCCAUACACAGCCCUGGAAGUGUGUAUGUCCAUUCCUGUUUAUGCCGCACUAAUGAGAGGAUGAGUAAAAUAGUUUCUAAAGUAUUUCAAAGCACAAAAGAAGAAUAUUAAAAUAUCUCUGGAAUGGCUGGUGCACAUUCUAUAAUUAAACACUGUUUGCUUCUUUAGUAUUCAGUUCACCAACAUAAUUUUCUCAAUGUAAAAGCUGAGCAGAGCUGGGGUGACACUGUGACACUGAUGACAGGUCAGAAAGUAGAACUAUAUUAUUCCUGAAUGAGCCAAUAUAAAUUAGAGACCCACCGGGAAAAUAACUGUGGUUAAUAUUUUAAUAAAUUUAAUUGGGUUCAACUUAUGACAUACGGUUAUGGCUUCCUUUAGCUUGUGAUCUGGAGUAGUCAGAAAAAAAAAUGAGAAUUAAAAUUCAAA